rnacentral:rRNA from 1 species
AGAGUUUGAUCCUGGCUCAGAGCGAACGCUGGCGGCAGGCUUAACACAUGCAAGUCGAACGGGCGUAGCAAUACGUCAGUGGCAGACGGGUGAGUAACGCGUGGGAACGUACCUUUUGGUUCGGAACAACUGAGGGAAACUUCAGCUAAUACCGGAUAAGCCCUUACGGGGAAAGAUUUAUCGCCGAAAGAUCGGCCCGCGUCUGAUUAGCUAGUUGGUGGGGUAAUGGCCCACCAAGGCGACGAUCAGUAGCUGGUCUGAGAGGAUGAUCAGCCACAUUGGGACUGAGACACGGCCCAAACUCCUACGGGAGGCAGCAGUGGGGAAUAUUGGACAAUGGGGGCAACCCUGAUCCAGCCAUGCCGCGUGAGUGAUGAAGGCCCUAGGGUUGUAAAGCUCUUUUGUGCGGGAAGAUAAUGACGGUACCGCAAGAAUAAGCCCCGGCUAACUUCGUGCCAGCAGCCGCGGUAAUACGAAGGAGGCUAGCGUUGCUCGGAAUCACUGGGCGUAAAGGGUGCGUAGGCGGGUUUCUAAGUCAGAGGUGAAAGCCUGGAGCUCAACUCCAGAACUGCCUUUGAUACUGGAAGUCUUGAGUAUGGCAGAGGUGAGUGGAACUGCGAGUGUAGAGGUGAAAUUCGUAGAUAUUCGCAAGAACACCAGUGGCGAAGGCGGCUCACUGGGCCAUUACUGACGCUGAGGCACGAAAGCGUGGGGAGCAAACAGGAUUAGAUACCCUGGU